GCCCGCCUAGCUCAAUCGGAUAGAGCGUCAGACUCUUAAGCACUAGGCGGUUUGCUGAUCUGAAGGCUGCGAGUUCGACCCUCGCGGUGGGCU